GCUUGUGGCUCAUUAGUAGAGCGCAGGAUUUUUUUCGAUUCUGAGGAACUGGGUUCGAUUCCCAGCAAGCA